ensembl:lncRNA
AGCUCAAACGCUUCCUCAAAGUCCCGCUGUUGGAAGGCAAGGCAGCCGUCCUCGUCGCAGUCCUGUGGAGCACACACCGUGGGUGAUGAAAGAGAGCCACUGCACGCGUCUGCUGACGUGUCGCGCGGAACCGCCUGCGCGUCGUCGGUCGCCAUGUCCUCGUAGACAUUACCCAUCAGGUACUGCGUGGUGUUUUCCGGCGCCAUUGCCCCCGACGGUUGGCGGUGCGCGCAGGCCGCAACGCGCCCUUCCUCGCGCGCGGACUCCAUUUUGGCCUUCCCGCCGAUGCCUCCCAGGAGUUCAGCCAGAUCAGCCAGCCGCGGCCGCCUCGGCGCCCGCCCAAGGCAGGUCGCCAUAAAUGGACAUGAGACACAAGACUGGGCAAGUGGAGAAAAAGCGUGUGUCUGUUCUCGG